rnacentral:rRNA from 1 species
UACGUAGGGUGCAAGCGUUAAUCGGAAUUACUGGGCGUAAAGCGUGCGCAGGCGGUCCGCUAAGACCGAUGUGAAAUCCCCGGGCUUAACCUGGGAACUGCAUUGGUGACUGGCGGGCUGGAGUAUGGCAGAGGGGGGUAGAAUUCCACGUGUAGCAGUGAAAUGCGUAGAGAUGUGGAGGAAUACCGAUGGCGAAGGCAGCCCCCUGGGCCAAUACUGACGCUCAUGCACGAAAGCGUGGGGAGCGAACAGG